AUGCAGCUGACCAGUUCCAAAUAAGACGAAACGCUUGUCCUGGAU
rfam:Schistosoma rodhaini strain Burundi genome assembly, scaffold: SROB_scaffold0003459